rnacentral:lncRNA from 1 species
CAGAGGGCAUGGUACCGAAGAUCAGGAACAAAGGGCAUCUCCUAGGUGCUGAGAGAGAGCUUCCCAGAAGCAGACAUUGAACUUGACUCUCCAGAGGACUUCUUAUGGCUAGCUGGAGGAAGGAUGGCUUUUCUCUGAGAAAUGGAAUGAAUUAAAGCUCAUUUGGGAAAGUUUGCUAAGAAUGGGUUGCAAGGGUGGUGAAGCGUCUCAACACGGUUGCUUGAGAUUCCUGAUAGCAUGGUGGCUAGAUCCCAAAAAGGAGUGCUCCAAGAAGUAAAGAAGAUGAUUCACCUCAGACCAGCCUGGGCAACACGAUUCACCAUUACCUUUGGGGGCAUGUUUAAAAGAGAUGCUUUCAUGUCCAAGUCUGGAAAUCCCAGCAUCUGUCCUGUCUUCAGAUACAUUCUAUGAAUGUAAGAAGCAUGGUAAACAAAUGGCAUCAGACAAUACUUACUGGUGAUUGAAGAAACUGCCCAUGGGAUCAUAACAGAAGCCCCGGUGAUAGUCUUCUCAGAUUGAACCACAGCACUAAUGGAGAUUACCAAAAUUUAUAGGAUAAGAUUACUGAAAUUUCUAUGUUGUUUUAUCCCAUUGAAAUCAAUGGAAAGCAAAGGACAGGAAAGAGCCAAACAGACAAUUUUCCCCUCUCAUCUCUAUGAUAUGGUCCCUCCUUACAGUUCUUCUGGAAAAGUCCAGAGUGCCAAGCAAAUAUACUGACUCUGGGGUCCUGCUGUGCUGCAUCGUGGCUCAUUGUGAACCAGUGGUCAAUCCAGGAGGCCAUCUCCAUAGAUACUUUGCAUCAUUUCCUUUCCCUCCCCUUCACCACUGGGGACUUACACUUCCCAAAUAAAAUAUCAACAAUUCAAUCCAUAUCCCUGCAUUCUAGACGCUUAGCACACUCCCAUGACCCACAUGCUGGUGAGGAUGUUGAGUUCAUGUGAAGCCUUGGUAAUUUUGGUUGGAAACAUGUUUCUAGAAUCAAGGCAAUGUGGUUUGGUCAAAUUCAGAUGAGAUUGUGGAGCCGCGUGUCCUAGAUUCCAGCUUUGGCUCUAGACCUUAUAAACCAACCCUGUGGCCUUUUAUCUCUCUCAUCAGUCUAAUGGAAAUCAUAUUACCUGCCUUCCUUAUCUGGAAAUGUCAUCAUCAGGAUCAAGAGAGAUAAGGUUUGAGAAAGUAAUGUGUAAGCCAUUAAGUAGUACACAGAUGACCAUUACUGCUGUCAAACAGGAAUUUGAUGCAAUGAACUCUGUUCCCCUUUUCUGUCAAUACAAGUUCAGUGUUAAACAUUUA